AACGAACGCUGGCGGCAUGCCUAACACAUGCAAGUCGAACGAGACCUUCGGGUCUAGUGGCGCACGGGUGCGUAACGCGUGGGAAUCUGCCCUCCGGUACGGAAUAACUCAGGGAAACUUGAGCUAAUACCGUAUAAUGACCUCGGUCCAAAGAUUUAUCGCCGGAGGAUGAGCCCGCGUCGGAUUAGCUAGUUGGUAGGGUAAAAGCCUACCAAGGCGACGAUCCGUAGCUGGUCUGAGAGGAUGAUCAGCCACACUGGGACUGAGACACGGCCCAGACUCCUACGGGAGGCAGCAGUGGGGAAUAUUGGACAAUGGGCGAAAGCCUGAUCCAGCAAUGCCGCGUGAGUGAUGAAGGCCCUAGGGUUGUAAAGCUCUUUUACCCGGGAUGAUAAUGACAGUACCGGGAGAAUAAGCCCCGGCUAACUCCGUGCCAGCAGCCGCGGUAAUACGGAGGGGGCUAGCGUUGUUCGGAAUUACUGGGCGUAAAGCGCACGUAGGCGGCUUUGGU
rnacentral:rRNA from 1 species